GCGCGAAACCUCCGCAAUGUGAGAAAUCGCGACGGGGGGAUCCCAAGUGCCAUUCUUAACGGGAUGGCUUUUCAUUAGUGUAAAGAGCUUUUGGAAUAAGAGCUGGGCAAGACCGGUGCCAGCCGCCGCGGUAACACCGGCAGCUCUAGUGGUAGCAGUUUUUAUUGGGCCUAAAGCGUCCGUAGCCGGUUUAAUAAGUCUCUGGUGAAAUCCUGCAGCUUAACUGUGGGAAUUGCUGGAGAUACUA
rnacentral:rRNA from 1 species